UACGUAGGGGUGCAAGCGUUAAUCGGAAUUACUGGGCGUAAAGCGUGCGCAGGCGGUUUUGUAAGUCUGUCGUGAAAGCCCCGGGCUCAACCUGGGAAUUGCGAUGGAGACUGCAAGGCUUGAAUCUGGCAGAGGGGGGUAGAAUUCCACGUGUAGCAGUGAAAUGCGUAGAGAUGCGGAGGAACACCCGAUGGCGAAGGCAGCCCCCUGGGGCCUGCACUGACGCUCAUGCACGAAAGCGUGGGGGAGCAAACAG
rnacentral:rRNA from 1 species